rnacentral:tRNA from 1 species
AUUUGGUUAACAAACUUGGGUGGCACUGAUGCUUAAAUGAAGGAGCGUCACGGUAAUAAAGGAUC